GGACCCGCACAAGCAGCGGAGCAUGUGGUUUAAUUCGAAGCAACGCGAAGAACCUUACCAAGACUUGACAUCGUAUGACCGCCGUAGAGAUAUGGAAUUCUGUAGAAAUACAGACAUAUAGACAGGUGGUGCAUGGUUGUCGUCAGCUCGUGUCGUGAGAUGUUGGGUUAAGUCCCGCAACGAGCGCAACCCUUAUAUCCGGUUGCCAAUAUUAAGUUAGGAACUCCGGAUAGACUGCCGUGGAUAACACGGAGGAAGGUGGGGAUGACGUCAAAUCAUCAUGCCCCUUACGUCUUGGGCUACACACGUGCUACAAUGGCUAUUACAAAGAGCAGCAAAACAGCAAUGUCAAGCGAAUCUCAAAAAGAUAGUCUCAGUUCGGAUUGUGGGCUGCAACCCGCCCACAUGAAGAUGGAGUUGCUAGUAAUCCCGAAUCAGAAUGUCGGGGUGAAUGCGUUCCCGGGUCUU
rnacentral:rRNA from 1 species